rnacentral:rRNA from 1 species
UACGUAGGGGGCUAGCGUUGUCCGGAAUCAUUGGGCGUAAAGCGCGCGUAGGCGGCCCGGUAAGUCCGCUCUGAAAGUCCAGGGCUCAACCCUGGAAAGCGGGUGGAUACUGCCGGGCUAGAAUCCGGAAGAGGCGAGCGGAACUCCUGGUGUAGCGGUGGAAUGCGCAGAUAUCAGGAAGAACACCAAUAGCGAAGGCAGCUCGCUGGGACGGUAUUGACGCUAAGGCGCGAAAGCGUGGGGAGCGAACAGG